GCCAGCAUGGUAUAAUGGUUUGAGCAAUGGACUACAACUCUGAAGACCAGGGUUUGAUUCCCUGCUCAGCCA